rnacentral:lncRNA from 1 species
AGCUAUGAGCCAAGAAGAUGGAAAUAUUUGUAUAACUCCUUGGAGAAAGUGGGGUACAGAGUGCUUUUUCUUUUUCCUUCUUUCUUUUUUCUUUUUCCUUUUAAUAAGACUUGGUUGAAUCUUUAUGUCUCUGGAUCCUAUGAAACUCAAAAGGGUACUAGGUAUGCUGAAUGCUCUAAAUUCCAUCGAGUUUCUUGUUCUAUCUCUCCUGUCAUCCCACAGUUGUUAUUAAGGCCUGGGAUCCUGCAGUCACAUUUCAUGUUGGUGAGUCCAUAGAAGGGAAAUUCCUAGGGUCAACUCUUCUCACCAUCUGACUGAUAACAUGUUUGGGUUCUGAGAAGGCUAACUUUUGAGGAUGUUGGAAGAUGAUGAAGAUGAUCUCAUAGUCCCAUACUGUUCACAAGGAGGAACAAAAUCAUCCCAGAAGGAUGCAGAGCCUGGAUAUCGAGGAGAAAGAGGCGGAUCCUGUGGAGGGUUGGUCCAGAGCACGAAAUUGAAUGUGCGAUUUUUACCAUAGUCACACAGGAGAGGCAACAUGCAAGAAUGCCCAUGAAGGCUGGUCAGAGAGAGGUCACACAGUUCUCUUGCCUGGUAUGCAUCAUGCAGAUCUUUUGUUAAAAACACAAACC